AUUGAACGCUGGCGGAAUGCUUUACACAUGCAAGUCGAGCGGCAGCGCGGGGCAACCUGGCGGCGAGCGGCGAACGGGUGAGUAACAUAUCGGAACGUACCCUGUCGUGGGGGAUAACACAGCGAAAGUUGUGCUAAUACCGCAUACGACCUGAGGGUGAAAGCGGGGGACCGUAAGGCCUCGCGCGAUAGGAGCGGCCGAUAUCGGAUUAGCUAGUUGGUGAGGUAAAGGCUCACCAAGGCGACGAUCCGUAGCUGGUCUGAGAGGACGACCAGCCACACUGGAACUGAGACACGGUCCAGACUCCUACGGGAGGCAGCAGUGGGGAAUUUGGACAAUGGGGGGCAACCCUGAUCCAGCCAUUCCGCGUGAGUGAAGAAGGCC
rnacentral:rRNA from 1 species